rnacentral:snRNA from 1 species
AAAAGGGCCUCCAUCAUAUAUAUAUCUACAUGAUGACCAGUUCAUUACUAAACUAAUGACUGGGCGGAAUGGCUAUCAAGACAUUUCAGAGGCAUAAUAUUUGACCUCGGGACAGUCGG